CUGACCUCCCACUUCCUGAAUUGAUCACGAUUUUCGCUUUCCAGACAUCCUCUUCCUGAAAUGGAUGAGUGUUCCACCCCACAGCAGCAAACAUUAGCAGGUGGCUGAUAUUCAAACUUAAGGCUGACAACUUCAAACUCUACACAAAUGGCAUGAUUCUCUUUUCUUUUAAAAUGGUGAUGAAUUUCUAUUUUGCAGUAUCGGGAGUACUGGGGGUAGAACCCAGAGACUUGAACACACUCAGUCAUCAAGCAGCACUUCAUUUAAAGACAAGAGUGAGUUGAAGCUGUUAUUUGUAACCUCAGCCAUGCCUCAGAACGAUGAGAAGAAUCAGAAGUGCUGACAGCUUGGGAUGCAAGCUAGUAUUGGAAGAGUUUAUAAAUGGUAACAUUGAACAUCCAGUGGCAGGGGUUGGAGAUUCAUCGGUGACUCUGAAGAAUCAUUUGGUCCAAUGGUUUUGUAGCUUCAUUGCCAGAUCUAAUAACCCCCUUUGAGGGCAGGACCCCAUCUCUACUCUGCAAACCUUUCCCCAGUCUAUGGUGUCAAUGAGCAUCAAGUUUUCAUUAAUAAAAAACAGAAGAAACCAUCA
rnacentral:lncRNA from 1 species